GUAACAGGAGAAAGCUUGCUUUCUUGCUGACGAGUGGCGGACGGGUGAGUAAUGCUUGGGAAUCUGGCUUAUGGAGGGGGAUAACGACGGGAAACUGUCGCUAAUACCGCGUAGUGUCGAGAGACGAAAGUGCGGGACUGAGAGGCCGCAUGCCAUAGGAUGAGCCCAAGUGGGAUUAGGUAGUUGGUGGGGUAAAGGCCUACCAAGCCUGCGAUCUCUAGCUGGUCUGAGAGGAUGACCAGCCACACUGGAACUGAGACACGGUCCAGACUCCUACGGGAGGCAGCAGUGGGGAAUAUUGCGCAAUGGGGGGAACCCUGACGCAGCCAUGCCGCGUGAAUGAAGAAGGCCUUCGGGUUGUAAAGUUCUUUCGGUAUUGAGGAAGGUUGAUGUGUUAAUAGCACAUCAAAUUGACGUUAAAUACAGAAGAAGCACCGGCUAACUCCGUGCCAGCAGCCGCGGUAAUACGGAGGGUGCGAGCGUUAAUCGGAAUAACUGGGCGUAAAGGGCACGCAGGCGGUUAUUUAAGUGAGGUGUGAAAGCCCCGGGCUUAACCUGGGAAUUGCAUUUCAGACUGGGUAACUAGAGUACUUUAGGGAGGGGUAGAAUUCCACGUGUAGCGGUGAAAUGCGUAGAGAUGUGGAGGAAUACCGAAGGCGAAGGCAGCCCCUUGGGAAUGUACUGACGCUCAUGUGCGAAAGCGUGGGGAGCAAACAGG
rnacentral:rRNA from 1 species